rnacentral:snRNA from 1 species
GUGCUUGCUUUUGCAGCACAUAUACUAAAAUUGGAAUAAUAGAGAAGAUUAGCAUGGUCCCAGAGCAAGGAUGACAUGCAAAUUUGUGAAGUGCUCCAUAUUAAA